GCUCCCAUGGCGUAGUGGUCACUGCGCUCGCCUUGUACGCGGGAGACCCGGGUUCGAUUCCCGGCGGGGUCA
rfam:Asian citrus Psyllid, Diaphorina citri - Florida Strain, whole genome shotgun sequence.